rnacentral:rRNA from 1 species
GACGAACGCUGGCGGCGUGCUUAACACAUGCAAGUCGAACGGAAAGGCCCUGCUUUUGUGGGGUGCUCGAGUGUCGAACGGGUGAGUAACACGUGAGUAACCUGCCCUUGACUUUGGGAUAACUUCAGGAAACUGGGGCUAAUACCGGAUAGGAGCUCCUGCUGCAUGGUGGGGGUUGGAAAGUUUCGGCGGUUGGGGAUGGACUCGCGGCUUAUCAGCUUGUUGGUGGGGUAGUGGCUUACCAAGGCUUUGACGGGUAGCCGGCCUGAGAGGGUGACCGGCCACAUUGGGACUGAGAUACGGCCAAGGCUCGUACGGGAGGCAGCAGUGGGGAAUAUUGCACAAGGGGCGGAAGCCUGAUGCAGCAACGCAGCGUGAGGGAUGACGGCCUUAGGGUUGUAAACCGCUUUCGCCUGUGACGAAGCGUGAGUGACGGUAAUGGGUAAAGAAGCACCGGCUAAAUACGUG